rnacentral:lncRNA from 1 species
AAUCCAGUCAGGAUUGACAGUGCUGCCCUUUUCUGGGCAGAGAGGAACCAACUGCCCGGGUUUUCCUACAGUGACCAAACUUGAGAUCCACCUCCUAGGGCCCCAGGAGAAUGGGGAGCAUUGUUGACUUCCCAAGGGAGAAUGGCUGCUUUAUUUGCAUCUCCAGGUUUCCUGGUAUGUGUUUUAUGACCUUACUGCCCUUUGGUCAACAACCAGAGCUUGAGCUUCAGAGCCCAGCAAGGCAGAGCCACAGCAGAUCCCCUGGAAAUGGAGCAGAGAGCCAGGAAUCAAAUAUGGGUCCUCUUUAAGAUCGUCAACAGCCAGGCCCUGGGUUCGGUCCCCAGCUCCAAAAAAAAGAACC